rnacentral:rRNA from 1 species
UACAGAGGUCCCAAGCGUUGUUCGGAUUCAUUGGGCGUAAAGGGUGCGUAGGUGGCGUCGUAAGUCGGGUGUGAAAUUUCGGAGCUCAACUCCGAAACUGCAUUCGAUACUGCGGUGCUUGAGGACUGGAGAGGAGACUGGAAUUUACGGUGUAGCAGUGAAAUGCGUAGAGAUCCGGAAGAACACCGGUGGCGAAGGCGGCCUGCUGGGCAGUUGCUGACACUGAGGCGCGACAGCGUGGGGAGCAAACAGG